GAUGAACGCCGGCGGCGUGCCUAAUACAUGCAAGUCGAGCGAACGGACGAGAAGCUUGCUUCUCUGAUGUUAGCGGCGGACGGGUGUGUAACACGUGGAUAACCUACCUAUAAGACUGGGAUAACUUCGGGAAACCGGAGCUAAUACCGGAUGAUAUUUUGAACCGCAUGGUUCAAAAGUGAAAGACGGUCUUGCUGUCACUUAUAGAUGGAUCCGCGCUGCAUUAGCUAGUUGGUAAGGUAACGGCUUACCAAGGCAACGAUGCAUAGCCGACCUGAGAGGGUGAUCGGCCACACUGGAACUGAGACACGGUCCAGACUCCUACGGGAGGCAGCAGUAGGGAAUCUUCCGCAAUGGGCGAAAGCCUGACGGAGCAACGCCGCGUGAGUGAUGAAGGUCUUCGGAUCGUAAAACUCUGUUAUUAGGGAAGAACAUAUGUGUAAGUAACUGUGCACAUCUUGACGGUACCUAAUCAGAAAGCCACGGCUAACUACGUG
rnacentral:rRNA from 1 species